rnacentral:rRNA from 1 species
UGCAAGUCGAACGAUGACUCUCUAGCUUGCUAGAGAUGAUUAGUGGCGGACGGGUGAGUAACAUUUAGGAAUCUACCUAGUAGUGGGGGAUAGCUCGGGGAAACUCGAAUUAAUACCGCAUACGACCUACGGGUGAAAGGGGGCGCAAGCUCUUGCUAUUAGAUGAGCCUAAAUCAGAUUAGCUAGUUGGUGGGGUAAAGGCCUACCAAGGCGACGAUCUGUAACUGGUCUGAGAGGAUGAUCAGUCACACCGGAACUGAGACACGGUCCGGACUCCUACGGGAGGCAGCAGUGGGGAAUAUUGGACAAUGGGGGCAACCCUGAUCCAGCCAUGCCGCGUGUGUGAAGAAGGCCUUUUGGUUGUAAAGCACUUUAAGCAGGGAGGAGAGGCUAAUGGUUAAUACCCAUUAGAUUAGACGUUACCUGCAGAAUAAGCACCGGCUAACUCUGUGCCAGCAGCCGCGGUAAUACAGAGGGUGCGAGCGUUAAUCGGAAUUACUGGGCGUAAAGCGAGUGUAGGUGGCUCAUUAAGUCACAUGUGAAAUCCCCGGGCUUAACCUGGGAACUGCAUGUGAUACUGGUGGUGCUAGAAUAUGUGAGAGGGAAGUAGAAUUCCAGGUGUAGCGGUGAAAUGCGUAGAGAUCUGGAGGAAUACCGAUGGCGAAGGCAGCUUCCUGGCAUAAUAUUGACACUGAGAUUCGAAAGCGUGGGUAGCAAACAGGAUUAGAUACCCUGGUAGUCCACGCCGUAAACGAUGUCUACUAGCCGUUGGGGUCCUUGAGACUUUAGUGGCGCAGUUAACGCGAUAAGUAGACCGCCUGGGGAGUACGGCCGCAAGGUUAAAACUCAAAUGAAUUGACGGGGGCCCGCACAAGCGGUGGAGCAUGUGGUUUAAUUCGAUGCAACGCGAAGAACCUUACCUGGUCUUGACAUAGUGAGAAUCUCUCAGAGAUGAGAGAGUGCCUUCGGGAACUCACAUACAGGUGCUGCAUGGCUGUCGUCAGCUCGUGUCGUGAGAUGUUGGGUUAAGUCCCGCAACGAGCGCAACCUUUUCCUAUUUGCCAGCGGGUAAGCCGGGAACUUUAAGGAUACUGCCAUGACAACUGGAGGAAGGCGGGGACGACGUCAGUCAUCUGGCCUUACGACAGGGCUACCCCUG